UUGGUCCCCUUCAACCAGUUAC
rnacentral:miRNA from 1 species